rnacentral:lncRNA from 1 species
AGGGAAUGAAAAAGAUUGAGGGAAGAAAGGAAGGAAGGAGGGAGGUGGGAGGUCAAGAGAGAAAGUAGGGUAGACAGUAUGAUGAAGAAACUAAAGGACUGAUACAUUUUUUGACCUCUAGGUGGCAUUUCUGGAGACCCUGAAGACCAUGAACAGAGUCCAGAAUCCCAUGCACUGAUUCUAAGAAAUGUGGUAUAUAUGCAGGGAUCUGAACACAUGGAAAAGGACAAAAUCAGUAUGGGCAUCAGGAGAAGGAAUGUUGUUUCUCUGUGUGUACAGAUUGAUAUAAAUCUUGCCAUAUUCCCUAUUGAGUGACCUAGAGGAACUGGUUUGUAGACUUUGGCAUUUGCUCCUAUAUCAUUAUUGAAUUAGUAUUUUACUUGGCAGUAAAAAAACAAAAACAAAAAAACAAAAACAAAAAAAUACAAAAAACCUACCUAGCUCUACCAGGGUCUCUCUUUCCUUCUUAAAAUUCUGAGGCUCCUGUGGAUUACACAAAGGCAGUAAUGAGCCAGGUGAAUCUCGGUUGCACUUGUGAAUUAACUUUUUUCUUACCUGAUUUGAAAGCACAAUUUAACAACUUCAAAGAAUGGUAUUAACUGAUGUUUGUUUUUCUA